CUCGAACAAAAACUCCUGCCACCCCAUUCCUCCUUAGCUCUGAGGAACUUAGACCCCCUGGAUACAAGGUGGGCGCAUAAAAGCCCCUCCGACCGCCGUAUUUGGUGCAAUGGAGCUGGGCAACCUCGAGCAAAUGCGAAAUCUUGCAAAUACCAAAAACCACGGAGGAAACAUGACCCCCUGGAGAUGCGAGGUGGGCAACCCUCUCCUGGCGCUGUUCAAUCGGUGCACAAGGAGAAGUUCAAAAUAAGAAUAAAACGUAGUGGCAAAUCAGCUCUAUAAGACCCCCAGGACCCACCGGUGGGCAAAUCAGAGCUACUUCGAAAACCUUUACGAACAAAGAACAAUGUAGGUCAAACUAUAAUACAGCCCUAAAACAUUUAGGAGACUAUAAAGGCAAUAAAAGAAAAUUAUAAAUAACAGAACACAAAAACGAAAACUUUUUCACCAUGAAAUCAAUAUCAA
rnacentral:lncRNA from 1 species